GGAGAGGUGGCCGAGUGGUCGAAGGCGCUUGCCUGCUAAGCAAGUGUGGAGGGUUACCUCCACCGAGGGUUCGAAUCCCUCCCUCUCCGCCA
rnacentral:tRNA from 1 species